ACUUGAAGCCGGGCUAAUCCAUAGUGCUCCCCUUACAUCCUCCCAAAUGGCAGCUCUUGCAUCUCCCACUGAACUUGCCUUUGUCUCAACACCAAACCAAAACCAAGACAAAAACAUUAACUUCCUCUGGGUUCAAUGCCAACUCUUCAUGUCCAAAAGGAACAACAAGAAUUACAUCAAAGUUUGAAACUUUCUUGUCUUAACAGGCAAGAUUUGCGUCAAAGUUUGAAACUUUUCAGGCUGUGUAAAGCUCGGAGAUUGAAGACAGCUAGGUGAAUGCUCAAGGAGCUUGGGGCAUCUGGGCUUGUUCCGAAUGUUAUAACUAUACCACAGUUAUGACAUGUUGCUUUAGAUCUAGGAAAUUUGAACAAGGGUUUGAGAUUUUUUAGGAGAUGAUUGAUAAGGGGUAUACCUUUGAUGGUUUUGCAUAUUGCACGGUUGUUGGUGCUUUGGUCAAGACUUGUAGAAUUGAAGAGGCAAGUCAUUAUAUGGAGGGGAUGGUGACAUCUUAUAAUGCACCGAUUAAUUUGAACUGCGAAGGUAGUAAGUUGGAAGUGGCAUGUGAAAUACUUGAUGAAAUGGAUAAGGUUUAGAAUGUGAUGAGUAGACACACACGAUUCUGAUGAAUGGGUUGUGUGAGGAAGGUGAUGUUUAUGGGGCCAUGGAGUAUAUGAAUGUAGUGGGUUUCAAUUCAAACUUGGUUGCUUUAAACACAAUGGUUGAUGGGUGGUGUAAAGCUGACUGGAUUGAUUGUGCUUUGAAAAUCUUUGAUUCAAUGGAUACAAGGGAUUCUUUUAGCCACUCCUCCUUGAUUCACAAUCUUUGCAAGGAUGGAAGGUUCCGUUGUGCAUCCAAGCUCGUGCUCUCUUGUGUUAGAAGUGGCAUGAGUAUACUCCCAUCUACUAAGCAUGCAGUUUUUGACAGUCUUAGUCGUUCUGGUUGUCAAAGAGAAGCAAAGAGACUUAAAUCAGAAAUUAAACUGGCUCUUUCAGCAUUCGUUUAGGUGCACUGUGGAGGUGGAAUGUUUUUCUGGCACUUAUUUAAUUUGUUAGUCAUUUACAAUGCAAAGCUUUUGUUGAAAUAGAACUGCAAACAUUGACAGUUACGUUUAGAGCUCCCAAAGUGCUUCUUGUGCUAAUAAGACCUAUUGUACAAAAUACAAAUUGGUCUUAAGAACCAGCUGGUAAAUUGGAAACUGAAUUUCAUUAAUAUCAUUCGAGCAUCACCAUUGUAACAUUGUUCUUAACGAGAGCACGUUUGGCCAAAUCUACUCUUGCUGAAGAAAGGACAGUUUACCAACCAUGCCAAUAUUGGUGGAUGAAGGAAGAAAGACACAUGACAGUUUUUAUUGUUGGUGGUCUCACGGGUGAAACUCUCUUAUAUAUCAAUGAUGGUCUUGUUGGACUACUUUUGAGUUCAAAUUUAAUGAUAAACUUGAUUGUACACUA